UGGGGGAUCGUCUAACGGCAGGACAACAGGUUCUGAACCUGUUUAUCUAGGUUCGAAACCUAGUCCCCCAA
rnacentral:tRNA from 1 species